UACGAAGGGGGCUAGCGUUGUUCGGAAUUACUGGGCGUAAAGCGCGCGCAGGCGGUUCUUUAAGUCAGGGGUGAAAGCCCAGAGCUCAACUCUGGAAUUGCCUUUGAAACUAGAGAACUUGGGUACGGGAGAGGUGAGUGGAAUUCCGAGUGUAGAGGUGAAAUUCGUAGAUAUUCGGAAGAACACCAGUGGCGAAGGCGGCUCACUGGCC
rnacentral:rRNA from 1 species